UUGCUUUUUUACGCGCAUUUAUAGUUACCUCGAACAUUCCUCGACGCCGACCACAACAGAAGCAUCAUAAAAUGAUGAAAUCAAGUGUCCACCAAGUUCGUGCAACCUGGCCGACACGCUGAACUUUGCUAUGCGCACUUUGCAGGAUGCCAACUUUAAGUGCGAAGAGGUGCAACAGGCUGCUGUCGAUUAUGUCUACGGGGAAUCCAACUGUCGGCAGCAUGCGGUCUACGAGGUGGGCAUGACAUGUUCGACUGCUGUGCAUCUGCCCAAGCAGCACGUGGAGUUCGGCAACGCCAACUGUGUGCUGACUUUGGUGGGCUUUGAGAAGAUGGAGCAACAUGACCCGCCUGGCCUCCGAGCGUCAGAAUUUGCAGGUUGUGGAGCUGCGUGUCUGCUUCUCGGCCAAUGAACUGGUCACCUACGAGAGCAAGGCCGGCGAACUCAUUGAUGGUGGCGUGGUCAACUCCUAGGGCCCACCGCUGGGCGCCUCACGCUUGGCUGUCAAAAAUAUCAGAAAAUGCGGAAAAAACAUACAGAAAGAUCCAUGUGAACAAGUAAUAUAUUUGAUUGAUGCGAUCAUCUGGUUAAAUUAUGCUCACAAAUGAAAUAAGAUAACACAUAAACGAGACUCGAAGGAGACGGACUGGAUAAAGAAGUCGCAAACGAACUAAUAUUUUACAGUUCUUGGAUAAAGCGUCUUCAUUUCAUCAACUUUUGUUUUUGCUGUUUUGAAAGGUUCUAAAGGGGAUUUCAGCGGCCGCCCUAGGAGGAAACAAAUUUGUUGGCUAAAGACGCAGUGCGUCCAAUCAUUCCAGCUAGUUAGCUGCGCUUGGGCUUCUGCACUGGCUGCUUGCGCUUGCAGCAACGUCGCCAGAUUUCAGUGGCGAUGGCCAG
rnacentral:misc_RNA from 1 species